rnacentral:lncRNA from 1 species
GAAAGAAAGAGGAGAGUAAAAAGAGAAGGAGAGAAUAUAGAAAGGAGAAGAAAAAAGAAUGAGAAAAUCCAAUUAACACAUUGCAUCAUUCAAAAAAAGAAAGAAGAGAGAAAGUGUGUAAAAAACAGAAAGCAGAAAAACUGAAUAAAUACAAUUAACACAUUACAUUGUAAAAGACAAGAAUACAUAAGUGAUUAAAGUAUGCAAUAUCAAAUAGAGUUGGGAAAUCUAUCAAAUCAAUACAGUAGAUAAUAUCAGUGAAAUUAAAAAAUAACAUUAAGGAGUCUAAAAACUCCUUGCCAAGGUAUUCAAGAUGGAGAGAUUUCUUAUCGAAGCUUUCAGCCUGGAUUUUGCUAGGCAUUGGGAGGCAUAAUAAAUCUCUAAACCUUGGCUGUGUGACCUCUGAAUACAUCUGGGUUUAGAGGUAAUGACCACACCAUCUGUCUCUAUGCUGCUUUGGGGAGGUGUGUAUUUAGUUUUUUCUCAUCUAGUUGAGCAUUCCGUUUCACAAAACUGCCCAGAAUUCAACUUGUUGUACCUAUUCUGUGCAUGGACAUUGCUGGUGACCCACAUACUUUUCCUGUUCCAUUGAUCAUUGGCUUUCAGCUCUCAGCCAACCCACUACAUAAGUUGAUUAGAUAGCCUGGUUCAAAGGUGUUCCCCUUGGAUACUUUUGCUGCUAUUUCUGGUUGGGAUGAGUGUGUAGGAAUUUACUUCCCAAACCUUCAAGCUUAGGAGUGGUCUUUAUAAAAUGGAUGCCUGCCACAGAUCUCCACCCCAAAUUGAGAAAAGUGGAGCCCUCCUUAUACAUCCUUCUACUUUGGAGUUCCUUCCCUGGCUUAAUUCAGUCUUUGUAUUCUACCACUGUUUCUUAAAAAAACUUGCCAUCUUUGUCCCUAUUUGUGACCCCUCUCCUUAUACCUGUCCCAGUGCUGCAGAUGUAGGCUGAGGAUUAAUGAAUUCUUUCUUGCUUUCUGUUCCAGUAAUCAGGGUUUCUGAUUGACUUUUAGUCUCUGACAAUCUAAAGUUUGCCUCAGUGCAUUCCCCUCUGUCACUCACCUCACUGAGUAGAUGCUCUCUUAUUGUUUUGAUUCCAAACUGUGGCAAAGCUGGGCCUAUUUUUACUUCACCAUCUUGAUAACCUUAAGACUCCUCUUUUAUUUUUUUAAUAUUCAUUUUUUAGUUGUAGUUGGACAUAGUACCUUUAUUCCAUUCAGUUAUUUUUUUAAUGUGAUGCUGAGGUUCAAACCCAGGGCCCCGCGCAUGCUAGGCGAGCACUCUAUCACUGAGCCACAAUCCCAGCCCCUUAAGACUCCUCUUUUCUAAUGUAUGAAUUUAGUGAUGUAAGUUUCCAUCUCAGCAUGGAUUUAUAUUUGUCUGAAAACUUUUAAUGCCUUGUGUUUUAAUUUCCACUUAUUUCAAAAUUAAAAAAAAAUUCUCAGAGAUAUUCUUUGACUCAUGAAUUAUUUACAAGUAUGUGUUUUAUUUUCUAAAUACUUGGAUUUUUUUUCUGUGAUUUUUCCGUCAUUGAUUUCUUGUUUGACUCCAUUGUAGUUGGAGGAUAUACUUGGUAUUUUAAAAAUUUUAAAUUUGUUGAGGCUUGUAUUAUGGUCCAGGGUAUGAUCUAUGUUGAUAAUGUUCCACAAGGAUAUGAAAAUAAUGUAUAUUCUAUUGUCAUUGGGUAUAAAUUCUGUUGGCUGAUUGUGUUUUUUAGAAACUUCUAUAUCUUUAUGGAUUUUCUGUCUAGUUUUUCCAUCAAUUGCUGAG